GAUGAACGCUAGCGGCAGGCUUAACACAUGCAAGUCGAGGGGCAGCAUUAAGUUGGCGACCGGCAAACGGGUGCGGAACACGUACGCAAUCUACCUUUGUCUGGGGUAUAGCCCGGAGAAAUCCGGAUUAAUCCCCCAUAGUUUAUAGAGGAGGCAUCUUCUUUAUAAUAAAGCUCAGGCGGACGAAGAUGAGCGUGCGUCCCAUUAGCUAGUUGGUAAGGUAAUGGCUUACCAAGGCGACGAUGGGUAGCUGGUGUGAGAGCACGACCAGCCACACGGGCACUGAGACACGGGCCCGACUCCUACGGGAGGCAGCAGUGAGGAAUAUUGGUCAAUGGACGCAAGUCUGAACCAGCCAUGCCGCGUGAAGGAUGAAGGCCUUCUGGG
rnacentral:rRNA from 1 species